rnacentral:tRNA from 1 species
GCCCAAGUGGUGGAACGGUAUACACAUCAGACUUAAAAUCUGCCGCCGAAAGGCUUACCGGUUCGAGUCCGGUCUUGGGUACGA